rnacentral:rRNA from 1 species
CCUACGGGAGGCUGCAGUGAGGAAUAUUGGUCAAUGGCCGAGAGGCUGAACCAGCCAAGUCGCGUGAGGGAAGACGGCCCUACGGGUUGUAAACCUCUUUUGUCGGGGAACAAAGCGGGUCACGUGUGACCCAUUCAGAGUACCCGGAGAAAAAACAUCGGCUAACUCCGUGCCAGCCGCCGCGGUAAUACGGAGGAUGCGAGCGUUAUCCGGAUUUAUUGGGUUUAAAGGGUGCGCAGGCGGAGGUGCAAGUCAGCGGUCAAAUUGCGGGGCUCAACCCCGUACUGCCGUUGAAACUGCAUCCCUUGAGUGCGCGAGAAGUAUGCGGAAUGCGUGGUGUAGCGGUGAAAUGCAUAGAUAUCACGCAGAACUCCGAUUGCGAAGGCAGCAUACCGGCGCGCAACUGACGCUCAUGCACGAAAGCGUGGGUAUCGAACAGGAUUAGAUACCCUUGUAGUC